GGGCGACUCUUCCCGAGGCACCCAGGAAGUCACAGCGUCUCCAGAGCCAGGGGACCAACGUUCCCCACGGGACACCAGAGCUGAAGCUCCAGGACCUCAGAGGCCUUGUUCAACAGGCCCCUCAAACCUCCUGCUCCAGAGAAGGGUUCUCUUAGCCCUGCCAACCCAGAUGUUGGGAAUGGGAUCUCCAGAGGGCCCUUAGCCUUGGGAGUCACCUGGCCAUGCAGGUUGGAAGACUGGCAGAUCGUAGGGCUUCCUCCCCUAACCCUGGUGGUCUGUUUACGGGUAUGUUGCCUUGGAAACAGAGGCAAAUAGUGGAGAUGAAGAAUGAGUCCCAGAUGAGGGCCCAAAGAGGGGAGUCCUGGGGAACCAGCUGGAGCAUCCCCCAGCAGAUGGGAAUCUUUAUUUUCUCCACAUAAGAGACACAGGCAAACCAUUUGGUGUUAUUGAAGAUCCCAACCACA